UGCGGGGGGGGGCAAGCGUUGUUCGGAAUUACUGGGCGUAAAGGGCUCGUAGGCGGCCAACUAAGUCAGACGUGAAAUCCCUCGGCUUAACCGGGGAACUGCGUCUGAUACUGGAUGGCUUGAGUUUGGGAGAGGGACGCGGAAUUCCAGGUGUAGCGGUGAAAUGCGUAGAUAUCGGGAGGAACACCGGUGGCGAAGGCGGCGACCUGGGUGGAUACUGACGCUGAGGUGCGAAAGCGUGGGGAGCAAAGCAGGAU
rnacentral:rRNA from 1 species